UACGGAGGUGGCAAGCGUUACUCGGAAUUAUUGGGUGUAAAGGGCAAGUAGGCGGUCUAAUAAGUGGGGGGUGAAAUACUUCGGCUCAAUCGGAGAACAGCCUUCCAAACUGUUAGACUUGAGUGUGACAGAGGAAAAUGGAAUUCUUGGUGUAAGGGUGAAAUCUGUAGAUAUCAAGAAGAACACCAGCUGCGAAGGCGAUUUUCUGGGUCAUUACUGACGCUAAAUUGCGAAAGCUAGGGGAGCAAACAGG
rnacentral:rRNA from 1 species